UCCUACGGGUGGCUGCAGUGGGGAAUAUUGCACAAUGGGCGCAAGCCUGAUGCAGCAACGCCGCGUGAGGGAUGACGGCCUUCGGGUUGUAAACCUCUUUUGUCAGGGAAGAAGCGAAAGUGACGGUACCUGGAGAAAAAGCACCGGCUAACUACGUGCCAGCAGCCGCGGUAAUACGUAGGGUGCAAGCGUUGUCCGGAAUUAUUGGGCGUAAAGAGCUCGUAGGCGGCUUGUCGCGUCUGCUGUGAAAACCCGAGGCUUAACCUCGGGCCGGCAGUGGGUACGGGCAGGCUAGAGUGCGGUAGGGGAGAUUGGAAUUCCUGGUGUAGCGGUGGAAUGCGCAGAUAUCAGGAGGAACACCGAUGGCGAAGGCAGAUCUCUGGGCCGCUACUGACGCUGAGGAGCGAAAGCAUGGGGAGCGAACAGGAUUAGAUACCCUAGUAGUCAC
rnacentral:rRNA from 1 species